rnacentral:rRNA from 1 species
GACGAACGCUGGCGGCGUGCUUAACACAUGCAAGUCGAACGAAGUGGCGAACGGGUGAGUAACGCGUAAUCAACCUGCCCUUCAGAGGGGGACAACAGUUGAAAACGACUGCUAAUACCCCAUACUGAUGGAGGGGAUUGCGUCGGAUUGGCUAGUUGGGGGGGUAACGGCCAACAAAGGCGAUGAUCAGUAGACGGUCUGAGAGGAGGAACGGCCACAUUGGGACCGAGACAAGGCCCAGACUCCGUCGGGAGGCAGCAGUGGGGAAUCUUCCGCAAUGGAGGAAAGUCUGACGGAGCAACGGCGCGGGAGGGAUUACGGCCUUCGGGUUGUAAAGCUCUGUUAAUCGGGACGCGGUACCGGAAUAGAAAGCCACGGCUAACUACGUGCCAGCCGCCGCGGUAAUUC